rnacentral:tRNA from 1 species
UCCCUGGUGGUCCAGUGGCUAAAACUCCAUUCUCCCAAUGCAGGGGGCCCAGGUUCAAUCCCUGGUCAGGGAA